CUCUUUCUUUUUCUCUGAAACACACCCUAGGACCGGCCACUAAUUCAACGAGCCUCCACGUUAGCCAUCGGUCGCCGACAACGGAUUCCGCCAUUCCCAAUGGCUGGAAAAUGCAAAAAAGUCUCCUUUUUGGCCUUUCGACUCUUAAAACUCAAAUCUGGGGUCGAUUCUCUCGAAAAACUUACCAAAAGUCGCAAAAAAAAGGGAACCCUUCGAUUUUAGGGUUUUUAAAAGGGUUCACCUUUCAUCAGAGGUGACGACCUCGACCACUUUUGGUGGCAGAACACGAAGCAUCAGGUAAGUUCCUUCUUUUUCUUUUUUAAUUUUUUUUAUAUAUAAAAAUAUUCGAAAAAAUAAAUAAAAGAAAAAAUAAAUCUCCUUCGAAAUUUUAUAUUCUGUUGGUUUUUUUUAUUGCUUUUUCUGUAAAAAAUUACAUUGCGAUUGUUGUGGCUUUUAUAGCCGAUUUACAACAUUAUUUAUUAUUUUUAUUUUUUUCUUUAUUGUUUGCUUUUGUUGUUUAUGCACUUGUAUCUAUCCCUUUUUCUCUUUUCUUGCAAGUGGCGGAGCCAACGGAGAGGAGAGACAGACCUUUUGCCAUUUUGGUGAAAUGGCAACAGAAAUGGCAAACCUUGGGACGAGGAUCUUCGGGCGGCGUGCUUGUGAAAGGAGGAGCGACACAGGGGGCAUUAGGAUUUCUAUUUAGCUUUUAGUGUCAUAGGCUUUAGG
rnacentral:lncRNA from 1 species